CGCCUACACGGCCAUUAGGCCUGCCUGCAUCACUCAUUUGGAAGCCUAGGUUCUCCAUUCUGUAACUGCCGCCCCCGGUGUCAGGUUCACAUGAGUGAAGGGGACUGAGUCAUCGCUACAUCCAUUUCUCAGCCCCCCAAGAGGACAGAAGACAGGGGGACAAAUACUCUGUUGGAGAUGGCACUCAUGACUUUGGCUCCUUCCAAAGCUGGGCUGUCGCCACUGCUGACAGGACCCUCUAAUUUGAUGACCAUGUUGCUGGUCGUCUGAUUUCUUUGGACAGUUCACUAACUGCAUCAUGCACUGUCCCUGUUCAUAAGUAAUAUCCUAUUAACAUUCUGGGCUGAAAUGGACCGGCAAUGAGGGCGUGGCCACCUACGGGCCCUGCAAGUACCUGGAAGCAACCCCUGCACACUGCUGUUGCCCAGCGAACUGCUGCUCACCUGCUCCAUGUUUUCAUCACUGUCUCAGCGGGUGAGGCUCUGAGGUCACACACAGAGCACUGUGACCAGGAACCAGGUUCCUGCCUCACCUAGCACAUAAAAUGUGCCAAACAAGCAGGCUUUAGUGGGAUGAAUGGACAACUGAACGAGUGGUUGAGUGAAGUUCAACCCUCCUCCCAAGCUAACAUUCUCUCCUGUGGACUAUCCCCAAAUGCUACACCUGUCUCAAAGUCGGCUGGCCCAGCAGAAACAAGACUGGCAAGAAGCAGAAGAUCCAAGCAAGAGAAAGCAGGGCAAGGAAUAAGCACUUGAAAACAAAAGCAAAGAAGCCUUUGUUCUUUGUCUCUUUGUUGUGAAGUGUUGCUUGGCAGACAGCACGGUGCUCUCCGAUUUCUGCGAGGCAUUUCAAAGAUUCCUCUCUGAAACUCCUGCUGGUACUAUGUAUCUGAAUUCUGAAUUCCAUCCCAGAGAUUUAAGUCAUAGCGGCAGACAGACAGCGAGGCUCCGUGCUGCUUUGUGGCAGAGAGUGUCUGAUGAGCUUAGUCUAAGCUGCAGUCCCAGACUAAGCUGCCAUUUUAACUGUAGCAAGCAGGAUGAACUGGCAAGGGAAAACCUGAGCUGUGGUCUCCUAGGUCCACAGCCCAAGGACUGGCAGCCCCGUCCUUGGAAGAGGACACCUCAGAGGACUUAGGAGACUAAAGGCCUUCUAGGGCAGAGGUAGAUUACUUUUCUCAUCACUCAACAAAAGGCCCAAUAAAAAAAGCGACCUAAAGGAGGCUCA
rnacentral:lncRNA from 1 species